GCACAACGCGAAGAACCUUACCAGGGCUUAAAUGUAGUUUGACGUAUUUGGAAACAGAUAUUUCUUCGGACAAAUUACAAGGUGCUGCAUGGUUGUCGUCAGCUCGUGUCGUGAGAUGUUGGGUUAAGUCCCGCAACGAGCGCAACCCUUGCCCUUAGUUGCCAGCAUUAAGGUGGGAACUCUAAGGGGACCGCCGGUGACAAACCGGAGGAAGGUGGGGAUGACGUCAAGUCAUCAUGGCCCUUAUGACCAGGGCUACACACGUGCUACAAUGGCCAGUACAAAGGGUUGCCAACCCGCGAGGGGGAGCCAAUCCCACUAAAGACUGGUCGUAGUCCGGAUCGCAGUCUGCAACUCGACUGCGUGAAGUCGGAAUCGCUAGUAAUCGUGGAUCAGAAUGUCACGGUGAAUACGUU
rnacentral:rRNA from 1 species